rnacentral:rRNA from 1 species
AUUGAACGCUGGCGGCAUGCCUUACACAUGCAAGUCGAACGGUAACAGGUCUUCGGAUGCUGACGAGUGGCGAACGGGUGAGUAACACAUCGGAACGUGCCUAGUAGUGGGGGAUAACUACUCGAAAGAGUGGCUAAUACCGCAUGAGAUCUACGGAUGAAAGCAGGGGAUCGCAAGACCUUGUGCUACUAGAGCGGCCGAUGGGAGAUUAGGUAGUUGGUGGGAUAAAAGCUUACCAAGCCGACGAUCUGUAGCUGGUCUGAGAGGACGAUCAGCCACACUGGGACUGAGACACGGCCCAGACUCCUACGGGAGGCAGCAGGGGGGAAUUUUGGACAAUGGGCGCAAGCGUGAUCCAGCAAUGCCGCGUGAAGGAUGAAGGCCUUCGGGUUGUAAACUGCUUUUGUACGGAACGAAAAGCCCUGGGUUAAUACCCUGGGGUCAUGACGGUACCGUAAGAAUAAGCACCGGCUAACUACGUGCCAGCAGCCGCCGUAAAAC